rnacentral:lncRNA from 1 species
AAUUUGUUGGCAUACAGUUGUUUAUGAUAGUGUCUACCUAUCUUUUGUAUAUCUGCACUAUCAAUUAUAAUUUCUCUUUUUUCAUCUCUGAUUUUAUUUAUUUGGAUCUUCCUUUGUUCUUGGUCUAGCUAAUGAUUUGCUGAUUUAAAAAAAUCUUUUUAGUGAAUUAAUUUUUCAUUUUGUUGAUCCUGUGUGUGUAUGUGUGUGUGUGUGUGUGUGUGUGUGUGUGUUUUAAGUCACUAUUUUGUUUAUUUCUGUUUUGAUCUUUUAUUAUUAUUAUUAUUUCUACUACUUUGAGGUUUGGUUUGCUCUUGCUUUUCUGGUUCCUUGAGGUAUAACAUUAGGUUGUUUAUUUGAAAUCUUUUUACUUUUUUGAUGUAGGCAUUGUCUGCUUUAAACUUCCCCCUUAGUACUUCAUUUGCCAUAUCUUAUGGGUUUUGAUAUGUUGAGGUUUCUAUUUUCAUUUGUUUUAAGACAUUUUGAAAUUUCUUUCCUAAUUUUUUACUGAUGCAUUGAGUCACUCAGGAACAUGUUGUUUAAUUUCGAUGUAUUGUACUUUUUCCAAAGUCCUUAUUUUAUUCAAUUGUGAUCACAAAAAAUACUUGUUAUGAUUUCAGUUUUUAAAAAUGUGUUGAGAAUUGUUUGCUCACCUAACAUAUUAUCUAUCCUGGAGAAUGUUUCAUGUGCGAAUGAGAAGAGUGCAUAUUAUGCAGCUAUUGAUUAAAAUGUUCUGCAAAUGUCUUUUAGGUCCAUAUGGUCUAUAUUAGAGUAUAAAUCCAAUUUUAUUUUGUUAAUUUUCUGUCUAGAUAUUCUGUCCAAUGCUAAGAGUGGGGUGUUAAAGUGUUAAAAACCUCACCUCUUAUUGUAUUGGGGCCUACCUCUCCUUUUAGAUCUAAUAAUAAUUUUUCUUUCCUUUUUUUUUUUUUUUUGUUGUUGUUGUUGAGACGGAGUCUCGCUCUGUCGCCCAGGCUGGAGUGCAGUGGCGCCAUCUCGGCUCACUGCAAGCUCCGCCUCCUGGGUUCAUGCCAUUCUUCUGCCUCAGCAUCCCGAGUAGCUGGGACUACAGGCGCCCGCCACCACGCCCGGCUAAUUUUUUUGUAUUUUUAGUAGAGACAAGGUUUCACCGUGUUAGCCAGGAUGGUCUCUAUCCCCUGACCUUGUGAGCUGCCUGCCUUGGCCUCCCUCUUUUUUCUUUUUUCUUAGAGACAGGGCAUCACUCUAUCAAACUGGCUGGGGUGCAGUGGCAUGAUCAUAGCUUACAGUAACCUCAAACUCCUAGGCUCAAGUGAUCCUCCUGCCUCAGCCUCCCAAGUAACUAGGACUAUAGGCAUGUACCACCACACCCAGCUAUUUUUUUAUUUUUACUUUUUUAUAGAGGCAAGGCUCACUAUGUUGUCCAGGCUGGUAUUAAACGCCUAUGCUCAAGUAAUCCUGCCUCAACCUCCAGAAAUGCUGAGAUUACAGCUCCCAGGUGUCUCCUCAGCAUUGAACAAUCUCUGAAGUCACUGCCUCCCAGCACUGCUCAGCUCAGUAACCAAAACAGCAUGGUACUGGUACCAAAACAGAGAUAUAGACCGAUGGAACAGAACAGAGCCUUCAGAAAUAAUACUACACAUCUACAACCAUCUGAUCUUUGAUAAACCUGACAAAAACAAGAAAUGGGGAAAGGACUCCCUAUUUAACAAAUGGUGCUGGGAAAACUGGCUAGGCAUAUGUAGAAAGCUGAAACUGGAUCCCUUCCUUAUACCUUAUACAAAAAUCAAUUCAAGAUGGAUUAAAGACUUAAAUGUAAGACCUAAAACCAUAAAAACCCUAGAAGAAAACCUAGGCGUUACCAUUCAGGACAUAGGCAUGGGCAAGGACUUCAGGUCUAAAACACCAAAAGCAAUGGCAACAAAAGCCAAAAUUGACAAAUGGGAUCUAAUUAAACUAAAGAGCUUCUGCAUAGCAAAAGAAACUACCAUCAAAGUGAAAAGGUAACCUACAGAAUGGGAGAAAAUUUUUGCAAUCUAUUCAUCUGACAAAGGGCUAAUAUCCAGAAUCUACAAAGAACUCAAACAAAUUUACAAGAAAAAAACAACCCCAUCAACAAGUGGGUGAAGGAUAUGAACAGACACUUCUCAAAAGAAGACAUUUAUGCAGCCAACAGACACAUGAAAAAAUGCUCAUCAUCACUGCCCAUCAGAGAAAUGCAAAUCAAAACCACAAUGAGAUACCAUCUCACAUCAGUUAGAAUGGCAAUCAUUAAAAAGUCAGGAAACAACAGGUGCUGGAGAGAAUGUGGAGAAAUAGGAACACUUUUACACUGUUGGUGGGACUGUAAACUAGUUCAACCAUUGUGGAAGACAGUGUGGCGAUUCCUCAAGGAUCUAGAACUAGAAAUACCAUUUGACCCAGCAAUCCCAUUACUGGGUAUAUACCCAAAGGAUUAUAAAUCAUGCUGCUAUAAAGACACAUGCACACGUAUGUUUAUUGCGGCACUAUUCACAAUAGCAAAGACUUGGAACCAACCCAAAUGUCCAACAAUGAUAGACCAGAUUAAGAAAAUGUGGCACAUAUAUACCAUGGAAUACUAUUCAGCCAUAAAAAAUGAUGAGUUCAUGCCCUUUGUAGAGACAUGGAUGAAGCUGGAAACCAUCAUUCUCAGCAAACUAUCGCAAGGACAAAAAACCAAACACCUCAUGUUCUCAAUCAUAGGUGGGAAUGGAACAAUGAGAACACCUGGACACAGGGCAGGGAACAUCACACACCAGGGCCUGUUGUGGGGUGGGGGGAGUGGGGAGGGAUAGCAUUAGGAGAUAUACCUAAUGUAAAUGACAAGUUAAUGGGUGCAGCACACCAACAUGGCACAUGUAUACAUAUGUAACAAACCUGCACGUUGUGC